CUAAAUGUUUUGAUACUGGUAUCACUGAAGUUGUUAUUAAUUUCACGUAUACGUGUUUUGAUCUUUAAAUUGUUUUAAAUGGAAAUAAUUAAAACUCUUAUUUGGCGGGAAAAUGAUCGUCGAACGUAGAAUUCCUAUGUCUGUUGGACAUCAAUAUCAAGAAAAUGUCGAAGACGUUUAUGUGAAAGAUUCUAUUGAACUGGAUGGUGUUGAUCUGAGACUGAACUUGUAACACAAGAAAGUGCAGUAUGAACAAUUACAAUAGCACAGUGUUGGAAGUGAUGAAAGGACGUUGUUGAUAUAAUAACAGUGAUAAGUUCGUUUGGAACAACAGCUUCAAGAACUAUGUGAUGAAUGAAAGCACAGUCAACAUUACUGCAUUGGACUGCUCCAUACAGCUAACCAACCAUAAACAUUACUUUAAUGCUUAUUACAACCCUUUGCAUAUCAAACCUCUCUGAUCAAAAUUAUAUAAAAAUUGAAAAAGUAAAAAGAUUCCAUCUGAAA